AACGAGUUAUCUGAACCUUCGGGGAACGAUAACGGCGUCGAGCGGCGGACGGGUGAGUAAUGCCUAGGAAAUUGCCCUGAUGUGGGGGAUAACCAUUGGAAACGAUGGCUAAUACCGCAUGAUGCCUACGGGCCAAAGAGGGGGACCUUCGGGCCUCUCGCGUCAGGAUAUGCCUAGGUGGGAUUAGCUAGUUGGUGAGGUAAGGGCUCACCAAGGCGACGAUCCCUAGCUGGUCUGAGAGGAUGAUCAGCCACACUGGAACUGAGACACGGUCCAGACUCCUACGGGAGGCAGCAGUGGGGAAUAUUGCACAAUGGGCGCAAGCCUGAUGCAGCCAUGCCGCGUGUGUGAAGAAGGCCUUCGGGUUGUAAAGCACUUUCAGUCGUGAGGAAGGUGGUGUAGUUAAUAGCUGCAUUAUUUGACGUUAGCGACAGAAGAAGCACCGGCUAACUCCGUGCCAGCAGCCGCGGUAAUACGGAGGGUGCGAGCGUUAAUCGGAAUUACUGGGCGUAAAGCGCAUGCAGGUGGUUUGUUAAGUCAGAUGUGAAAGCCCGGGGCUCAACCUCGGAAUAGCAUUUGAAACUGGCAGACUAGAGUACUGUAGAGGGGGGUAGAAUUUCAGGUGUAGCGGUGAAAUGCGUAGAGAUCUGAAGGAAUACCGGUGGCGAAGGCGGCCCCCUGGACAGAUACUGACACUCAGAUGCGAAAGCGUGGGGAGCAAACAGGAUUAGAUACCCUGGUAGUCCACGCCGUAAACGAUGUCUACUUGGAGGUUGUGGCCUUGAGCCGUGGCUUUCGGAGCUAACGCGUUAAGUAGACCGCCUGGGGAGUACGGUCGCAAGAUUAAAACUCAAAUGAAUUGACGGGGGCCCGCACAAGCGGUGGAGCAUGUGGUUUAAUUCGAUGCAACGCGAAGAACCUUACCUACUCUUGACAUCCAGAGAACUUUCCAGAGAUGGAUUGGUGCCUUCGGGAACUCUGAGACAGGUGCUGCAUGGCUGUCGUCAGCUCGUGUUGUGAAAUGUUGGGUUAAGUCCCGCAACGAGCGCAACCCUUAUCCUUGUUUGCCAGCGAGUAAUGUCGGGAACUCCAGGGAGACUGCCGGUGAUAAACCGGAGGAAGGUGGGGACGACGUCAAGUCAUCAUGGCCCUUACGAGUAGGGCUACACACGUGCUACAAUGGCGCAUACAGAGGGCGGCCAACUUGCGAAAGUGAGCGAAUCCCAAAAAGUGCGUCGUAGUCCGGAUUGGAGUCUGCAACUCGACUCCAUGAAGUCGGAAUCGCUAGUAAUCGUGGAUCAGAAUGCCACGGUGAAUACGUUCCCGGGCCUUGUACACACCGCCCGUCACACCAUGGGAGUGGGCUGCAAAAGAAGUAGGUAGUUUAAC
rnacentral:rRNA from 1 species